rnacentral:tRNA from 1 species
UGUCUCAGUAGCUCAGCUGGAUAGAGCAACGCCCUUCUAAGGCGUCGGUCGGGAGUUCGAAUCUCUCCUGGGACGU